GACGAACGCUGGCGGCACGCCUAACACAUGCAAGUCGAACGGUGAAGAGGAGCUUGCUCCUCGGAUCAGUGGCGGACGGGUGAGUAACACGUGAGCAACCUGCCUUUCGGAGGGGGACAACAGUUGGAAACGACUGCUAAUACCGCGUAACAUAGCGAAACCGCAUGAUUUUGCUAUCAAAGGAGCAAUCCGCCGAAAGAUGGGCUCGCGUCCGAUUAGAUAGUUGGUGAGGUAACGGCUCACCAAGUCGACGAUCGGUAGCCGGACUGAGAGGUUGAACGGCCACAUUGGGACUGAGAUACGGCCCAGACUCCUACGGGAGGCAGCAGUGGGGGAUAUUGCACAAUGGGGGAAACCCUGAUGCAGCGAUGCCGCGUGAGGGAAGAAGGUUUUCGGAUUGUAAACCUCUGUGGAGGGGGACGAUAAUGACGGUACCCCUUUAGGAAGCCACGGCUAACUACGUGCCAGCAGCCGCGGUAAUACGUAGGUGGCGAGCGUUGUC
rnacentral:rRNA from 1 species